rnacentral:tRNA from 1 species
AAGAAUUAUUUAAUUGAGGCUGCUAACUUUGAUUAGGGAGAAAUCUCUUCCAAUUCUUU